rnacentral:rRNA from 1 species
UGGCCUUGACAUAGACAGAAUUUAGUAGAGAUAUAAAAGUGCCAGUUUACUGGAGCUGUUAUACAGGUGCUGCACGGCUGUCGUCAGCUCGUGUCGUGAGAUGUUGGGUUAAGUCCCGCAACGAGCGCAACCCACGUCAUUAGUUACUAACAGAGGGCAUAUAAAAAUACUUAUUUCAAAGAUUUUAAGUUAUAUAAGUUGAAUAGUGGUAAUUUUCUUUUUUGAAAACUUACAUCGUAAGUUGAUAAAAAGAAAAUUAUCAAUAGCAACUUAGAUGACUUACUAAAUAUCUACUUACUUCGUUAGAUUUUAUCGAGAUACAGAGUAUCUUUUCAGAAAUCUGCCUUGUAAUUAGUUAUUUAUUAAAUCAAAAAUCAAAGAAAGAAGUUUUUUUAUGUGCCCUGCUGAGGACUCUAAUGAGACUGCCUGGGUAACCAGGAGGAAGGUGUGGACGACGUCAAGUCAUCAUGGCCCUUACGGCCAGGGCUACACACGUGCUACAAUGGGGUAUACAGAGAGCAGCGAUACCGCGAGGUGGAGCAAAUCUUUAAAAUAUCUCCCAGUUCGGAUAGCACUCUGCAACUCGAGUGCUUGAAGUUGGAAUCGCUAGUAAUCGUAGAUCAGCAAUGCUACGGUGAAUACGUUCCCGGGUCU